UCAGGAUGAACGCUAGCGGCAGGCUUAACACAUGCAAGUCGAGGGGCAGCAUGAACCGACCUUCGGGAAGGUUUGAUGGCGACCGGCGCAAGGGUGCGUAACGCGUGAGCAACUUGCCCGUUUCUGGGGGAAUAACCCGGUGGAAACGCCGACUAAUACCCCCAUAGCAUCAACUUAGGGCAUCCUUAGUUGAUUAAAGAAUUUCGGAAACGGAUAGGCUCGCGUGACAUUAGCUAGAUGGCGGGGUAACGGCCCACCAUGGCUACGAUGUCUAGGGGUUCUGAGAGGAAGGUCCCCCACACUGGAACUGAGACACGGUCCAGACUCCUACGGGAGGCAGCAGUGAGGAAUAUUGGUCAAUGGUCGAGAGACUGAACCAGCCAUGCCGCGUGAAGGUCACGGCCCUAUGGGUCUUAAACUUCUUUUGUAAGGGAGCAAUAAGUCUCACGUGUGGGAUGAUGAGAGUACCUUACGAAUAAGCAUCGGCUAACUCCGUG
rnacentral:rRNA from 1 species